UUUCCGUAGGUGAACCUGCGGAAGGAUCAUUACCUAGAGUUGCGGGCUUUGCCUGCCAUCUCUUACCCAUGUCUUUUGAGUACCUUCGUUUCCUCGGCGGGUUCGCCCGCCGAUUGGACAAAACUUAAACCCUUUGUAAUUGAAAUCAGCGUCUGAAAAAAACAUAAUAGUUACAACUUUCAACAACGGAUCUCUUGGUUCUGGCAUCGAUGAAGAACGCAGC
rnacentral:misc_RNA from 1 species